CCUACGGGAGGCAGCAGUGAGGAAUAUUGGUCAAUGGACGAGAGUCUGAACCAGCCAAGUCGCGUGAAGGAUGACUGACCUAUGGGUUGUAAACUUCUUUUAUAAGGGAAUAAAACGAGGCACGUGUGCCUUUUUGCAUGUACUUUAUGAAUAAGGAUCGGCUAACUCCGUGCCAGCAGCCGCGGUAAUACGGAGGGUCCGAGCGUUAUCCGGAUUUAUUGGGUUUAAAGGGAGCGUAGAUGGGUUGGUAAGUCAGUUGUGAAAGUUUGCGGCUUAACCGUAAAAUUGCAAUGGAUACUGGCAGUCUAGAGUGCAGUAGAGGUAGGCGGAAUUCGUGGUGUAGCGGUGAAAUGCGUAGAUAUUACGAAGAACCCCGAUUGCGAAGGCAGCUUACUAGACUGUAACUGACAUUGAGGCUCGAAAGUGUGGGUAUCAAACAGGAUUAGAUACCCUAGUAGUC
rnacentral:rRNA from 1 species